GACGAACGCUGGCGGUGUGCUUAACACAUGCAAGUCGAACGGUAAGGCCCUUUCGGGGGUACACGAGUGGCGAACGGGUGAGUAACACGUGAGUAACCUGCCCUCAUCUCUGGGAUAACAGUCGGAAACGGUUGCUAAUACUGGAUAUGAGCUUGCAAGGCAUCUUGUGGGUUGGAAAGAUUUUUUUGGUUGGGGAUGGACUCGCGGCCUAUCAGCUUGUUGGUGAGGUAGUGGCUCACCAAGGCUUCGACGAGUAGCCGGCCUGAGAGGGCGACCGGCCACAUUGGGACUGAGAUACGGCCCAAACUCCUACGGGAGGCAGCGGUGGGGAAUAUUGCACAAUGGACGGAAGUCUGAUGCAGCAACGCCGCGUGCGGGAUGACGGCCUUCGGGUUGUAAACCGCUUUCAAUUGUGACGAAGCUUUUUGUGACGGUAGCAGUAGAAGAAGCACCGGCUAACUACGUG
rnacentral:rRNA from 1 species